CAAACAGGUAUGCAAAGGUGUAAGUCAACAAACAGGUAUGCACAGGUGAAAGUCAUCACAGACUUUUGUUCUGGAGCAAACAAUUAUGCAAAGGCGUAAGUCAACAAACAGGUAUGCACAGGUGAAAGUCAUCACCAGACUUUUAUUCUGGAACAAACAGGUAUGUACAGGUGAAAGUCAUCACACUCAGGCUUUUAUACUGGAACAAACAGGUAUGCACAGGUGUAAGUCAACAAACAGGUAUGCACAGGUGAAAGUCAUCACAGACUUUUGUUCUGGAGCAAACAAUUAUGCAAAGGCGUAAGUCAACAAACAGGUAUGCACAGGUGAAAGUCAUCACCAGACUUUUAUUCUGGAACAAACAGGUAUGCACAGGUGAAAGUCAUCAUAGGCUUUUAUUCUGGAACAAACAGGUAUGCACAGGUGAAAGUCAUCACAGACUUUUAUUCUGGAACAAACAGGUAUGGACAGGUGAAAGUCAUCACAGGCUUUUAUUCUGGAACAAACAGGUAUGCACAGGUGAAAGUCAUCACAGGCCAUUAUUCUGGAACAAACAGGUAUGCAAAGGUGUAAGUCAACAAACAGGUAUGCACAGGUGAAAGUCAUCACAGACUUGUAUUCUGGAACAAACAGGUAUGCACAGGUGAAAGUCAUCACAGUCUUUUAUUCUGGAACAAAGAGGUAUGCACAGGUGAAAGUCAUCACAGGCUUUUAUUCUGGAACAAAGAGGUAUGCACAGGUGAAAGUCAUCACAGUCUUUUAUUCUGGAACAAAGAGGUAUGCACAGGUGAAAGUCAUCACAGUCUUUUAUUCUGGAACAAAGAGGUAUGCACAGGUGAAAGUCAUCACAGUCUUUUAUUCUGGAACAAACAAGUAUGCACAGGUGAAAGUCAUCACAGACUUUUAUUCUGGAACAAACAGGUAUGCACAGGUGAAAGUCUUCACAGACUUUAUUCAGGCAUGCAUCAUGGUCAUGGUCAUGGUCAUGGCGUGAUCUGGACAUGCUUUUCUCAAAAUAACAAUAAAUUGGACACACCAGAUGCCCUUAUUCUGGGGAGCAGAUCCUCUGACAAGUAUGAAAUUCUGUUCGACCAGGGAUGCCACUAGGUCAUCUAGAUCUGUGGGCUCUGUCAUCUACUGUGACCUCUCUGACAGUAAUUUGCCCCUCAGGAUACCUUAGAAUGCACCAUUUUAACUUAAAAUUCUUGAAAACUGUUUGAUAUGGUGUUUGACAGGAUCGGUCAUACAUUCAUACAUUGUAUUCUAUGAGCUUUCUUAAAAAAAGUUAGUGUUU